GUUCAUUCGGGGACAUCUGAUAAAAUUAUAACGAUACAGAGAAUAUUAGCAUGAUCCUUGCGCAAGGAUGGCACACGCAAAUCGAGAAAUGGUCCAAUACUUC
rfam:Capsicum annuum cultivar Zunla-1 chromosome 10, whole genome shotgun sequence